rnacentral:rRNA from 1 species
UACGUAGGGGGCAAGCGUUGUCCGGAUUUAUUGGGCGUAAAGAGCGUGUAGGCGGUUUGGUAGGUCCGCUGUGAAAACUCGAGGCUCAACCUCGAGACGUCGAUGGAAACCGUAUGGCGUAGAGUCCGGAAGAGGAGAGUGGGAAUUCCUGGAUGUAGCGGUGAAAUGACGCAGAUAUCAGGAGGAACACCUAUUGCGAAGGCAGCUCGCUGGGACGUAACUGACGCUGAGACGCGAAAGCGUGGGGAGCAAACAGG